rnacentral:rRNA from 1 species
GCCGACGAUCGCUAGCUGGUCUGAGAGGAUGGCCAGCCACACCGGGACUGAGACACGGCCCGGACUCCUACGGGAGGCAGCAGUGGGGAAUAUUGCGCAAUGGGGGCAACCCUGAC